CCGAUUAUUGUUAUAGUUCAUACUUCACUCUAAAAUGACUAUCGUUUUCCAGUUUGGUUUAGGGUAUACUACAAGCCCUGUUGUAUCUUAUGAAAUGCCUUUAUUAACCACUGGUUUUCAUGUGAUGAGUAAGAACAACUGUUCCAUUGCUUGAUUUGGCAGCAGGAGCUUGGCCGGAGCAAGAAAUAGCUGCAUAAUCUUCAAGAAUGCAGAUCAGCAUUUUGGGACCUACCCAAGAAAUUGAGAGCCUUGGGGAGAAUGGUCACCCUCAGUCCUCACAAAAUGACUUGGAUUCUGGUACAACAUCAAAAUGCUUUAAUUGCCAAAAGUCUUUGUUGUUUGGAAUUGAGUCAGUCAUCAAUAACCUUGGGGGUCC
rnacentral:lncRNA from 1 species